AGUAGGCGGGUGCGGGGUAAGCUGGGGCAGAGUAGGCCGGGGCAGAGUAGGCUGGUUUGGAGUAGGCCGGUGCGGAGUAGGCAGGUGCGGGGUAAGCCGGGGCAGAGUAGGCUGGUUUGGAGUAGGCCGGUGCGGGGUAAGCUGGGGCAGAGUAGGCCGGGGCAGAGUAGGCUGGUUUGGAGUAGGCCGGUGCGGAGUAAGUGGGUGGUUUGUACUCCGGCUUGUAGCUGGCAGCGGCAGCAACGGCCAAGACAGCGGCGAUAACGAACUAUUUGAAAAA